AUUACCUAGCAAACCCAGAGAAACGGCACUGCCCGUUACCUAGCAACCCAAGCUGAGCUCCAGCAUUUUUGGUCAGCUGGAUUUACCUCUGUAUGCUCUGUUCAAUGGCUGCAGGAAAAGACAAGCGUUUUUUUUGUUGACUUAGCAUCCAGAAACCACAUGCUACAUUCAUGUUAGUUGCACAGGAGGCUCUACUAACGCUAUUCAAAGAACUGCGGUUGUAUAAUUGUGCAUCAGUUUACAGCCAUUUUCAGAUGUGAGUUUAAAUGUUGAAUUGGGGGG